rnacentral:rRNA from 1 species
UGAAAUCUGGCCGCAAGGUCCGAGUUGUAAUUUGUAGAGGAUGCUUUUGGCGAGGUGACUUCCGAGUUCCCUGGAACGGGACGCCAUAGAGGGUGAGAGCCCCGUACGGUCGUGCCACCGAGCCUCUGUAAAGCUCCUUCGACGAGUCGAGUAGUUUGGGAAUGCUGCUCUAAAUGGGAGGUGUACGUCUUCUAAAGCUAAAUACCGGCCAGAGACCGAUAGCGCACAAGUAGAGUGAUCGAAAGAUGAAAAGCACUUUGAAAAGAGGGUUAAAAAGUACGUGAAAUUGUUGAAAGGGAAGCAUUCAUGACCAGACUUGGGCUUGGUUGAACAUCCGGCGUUCUCGCCGGUGCACUCUGCCAGCUCAGGCCAGCAUCAGUUUGCCCCGGGGGACAAAGGCGGCGGGAAUGUGGCUCCCUACGGGGAGUGUUAUAGCCCGUCGUGUAAUGCCCUGGGGUGGACUGAGGUUCGCGCUUCGGCACGGAUGCUGGCGUAAUGGUCAUCAAUGACCCGUCUUGAAACACGGACCAAGGAGUCGUCUUCGUAUGCGAGUGUUCGGGUGUCAAACCCCUACGCGUAAUGAAAGUGAACGUAGGUGAGAGCUUCGGCGCAUCACCGACCGAUCCUGAUGUUCUCGGAUGGAUUUGAGUAAGAGCAUACGGGGCCGGACCCGAAAGAAGGUGAACUAUGCCUGUAUAGGGUGAAGCCAGAGGAAACUCUGGUGGAGGCUCGCAGCGGUUUUGACGUGCAAAU